GGUCUCACCCUUUUUCUGUGACCUUCAGCAGGUUCCUUCAUUUUUGAGCCUGUUUCCCUAUUUGUGUAAUGAGCUUAAAAAAACACGUUCCAGUGAACGCCUAGAACAGGCAGUCAUUAAUAUUUUUGCAAAACUCGACCAGGGCCACAAGCAGGCAUGAGUACGGAGUGGGAAGGCGAGUCCCUGCCGCUCAGCUCCUAAUCUAAACCAUUUGGACCUGGUGGACUUAAGCCGGUGAGCAUUUAUAGCCCCAUCGGCGGUCGUAGAAAACGGGUCGGGUAAAGAGCCUACGUGCCAAACGACACCCUAAAGGGUUAGCUCCUGCAGAUUCCAGAGCGCGACUCUCCCGCUCCGCUCCGCAGGCCAGAAGAUGCAAUAUCGCGAGACCUGACGGGAUCCAACGGGUUUCCAGGCCGGAAGUGGGGGGCGGACCAGAGGGGGCGCGCUCCUUUUGAAACAUGCGGAAGGGGCGUGUGGGCUGGAGGUCGCUGUCCCUUCUGCGAAUCGGUCGAGCAACGCUGGAGUGGGCAGCUGGGUCAACGGAGACCUAAAUAUGGGGUUAGGUCGGGAGCGGUCACAGCUUCAUUCAUUGGGCAGCUACCAGGGCUUGCCAUGCGCUGUGAGGCACUGUGUCGAAGCCCCUCCUUGCCUCCCCAGAGCUUUGCUCUGUCCGCUCCACACCAACCUCCAAGCGUAAAUAAAGUUCCCUCCCUUUGGCUCAGCCUUUUAAGGAGCCUUUGUGACCGCGGAGGGUGGUUUGCUCUGACACUAACCAAACUUCACCUUCUGGAGGGCCACUUGCCCAGGUCCCGUUUGUGGCCAUGGUAUGGAUCUUAGCAACGUGUUCACACGAUCAUGUUUUUAUAAACUUAGCAAAACUGGCGGUAUCAGUAUUUUAAUCCACAUCUGUUAAGACAACUGCCUCUUUCCACUGGGACUUUCCGGUCUGGGAGCAUUGAAGUAGCCAGGGGCAUCUUGGGGAGUUUUUAGGUCGGUCUUCUCUUGACUAGGGCUUGAUUGUGUCUACUUGGGCUGCCUUUGGGUUCUGGGUUGUACAGAGUCCCGAUGAGAGACUCAGUAAAGAUAAAAGGGAAACAGUUGCCUUUCUAAAGUGCCUCCAAAUCUCGGAUGGUGGCAGCCUCCUCCCUCCACCCCUCCCAUCAACGAAAGAAGGACAGCGUGUGGUGAAAGAGAACCAUCAGAAGAACUGCAGCCAUGGGUCCUCUCUCUGUGUCAGGCAAGGCUUUACUGUGAACCACUAAUGUGCCAGGUACCAUGUGUGGAGGCACUGGCCCAAAGAUGAAGAUGAGGUUUCUCUCCUUGAGAAGCGGAGUGUGGGAGACAGACAGUGUUUAAAUCCUAGAGUUUUGGCUACCCAUUUAAAAGAUAACUUUCCAUACUCACUUGCAUAUGGAUUUGUCCAUGUGACCAAGUUCUGAUCAGCAGGUUGUGAGCAAAGGACAGGCUUCCAUUUCCUCCUAUUUCUUUCUCAUCGGCUGAAAUCUUCUCGCUGGGCUGGAGGAGUCAUUCUAGACCUUGAGAUGGAAGCCAUAUGCUGAGGAUGGCAAAGCAGGAAAACAGAGAGAAACUAGAUCCCCAUCAUCAUGAAGCAUCCAUUGCAGCCCCAGGCUGUUAAACUCAGACUAUAUGUGACAUGUUGAUAAAUUUCUGGUGCUUCCCUCGUGGCUCAGAUGGUCAAGCAUCUGUCUGCAAUGCUGGAGACCCAGGUUCCAUCCCUGGGUCAGGAAGAUCCCCUGGAGAAGGAAAUGGCAACCCACUCCAGUACUCUUGCAUGGAAAAUCCCAUGGACAGAGGAGCCUGGUAGGCUACAGUCCAUGGGGCACAAAGAGACACGACUGGGUGACUUUACUUACUUACUGAUAAAUUUCUAACCUGUUUAAACUAUAUAUAUAU
ensembl:lncRNA